AUUGAACGCUGGCGGCAGGCCUAACACAUGCAAGUCGAGCGAGCGGCGGACGGGUGAGUAAUGUCCGGGAAACUGCCUGAUGGCGUGGGAUAACUACUGGAAACGGUAGCUAAUACCGCAUACCAUCUGAUGUGCCCAGAUGGGAUUAGCCAGUAGGUGGGGUAACGGCUCACCUUGGCGACGAGCCCUAGCUGGUCUGAGAGGAUGACCAGCCACACGGGAACUGAGAAACGGUCAGAACUCCUACGGGAGGCGGCGGUGGGGAAUAUUGCAGAAUGGGCACAAGCCUGAUGAAGCCAUGCCGCGUGGGUGAAGAGGGCCUUCGGGUUGUAAAGCACUUUCAGCGGGGAGGCGUUACCCGAAGAAGAAGCACCGGCUAACUCCGUGCCAGCCGCCGCGGUAAUAC
rnacentral:rRNA from 1 species